GAUGAAGAACGUAGCGAAACGCGAUAGGUAAUGUGAAUUGCAGAAUUCCGUGAAUCAUCGAAUCUUUGAACGCACAUUGCGCCUGCUGGUAUUCCGGUAGGCAUGUCUGUUUGAGCGUCAGCAAAAACUCUCAGCCAAUUACUUUUGUAAGAAAGCUGGUCAUGGGUGUUGGAGGAAUUUUGGUCCUUUGUGGCCAGCUCCCACCUUAAACUUGCUGCACGACCGCAAGCUAAUGCUAGGUUAAUGAAGUGGUAUUAUUAUAAUUUCAGCAACUGUUCAAUAGCUUAGCGGCGUUAAACCCGAUGUCUCAAUUUAUUGUGACUGAAGUUUGACCUCAAAUCAGAUAAGGAUACCCGCUGAACUUAAGCAUAUCAAUAAGCGGAGGA
rnacentral:misc_RNA from 1 species